rnacentral:rRNA from 1 species
CCUACGGGGGUCAGCAGUGGGGGAUAUUGCACAAUGGGGGAAACCCUGAUGCAGCGACGCCGCGUGGGUGAAGAAGCGCCUCGGCGCGUAAAGCCCUGUCAGCAGGGAAGAAAAUGACGGUACCUGAAGAAGAAGCCCCGGCUAACUACGUGCCAGCAGCCGCGGUAAUACGUAGGGGGCAAGCGGUAUCCGGAUUUACUGGGUGUAAAGGGGGCGCAGACGGCGAUGCAAGCCAGGAGUGAAAGCCCGGGGCCCAACCCCGGGCCUGCUCUUGGAACUGCGUGGGUAGAGUGCAGGAGGGGCAGGCGGAAUUCCUGGUGUAGCGGUGAAAUGCGUAGAUAUGAGGAGGAACACCAGGGGCGAAGGCGGCUUUCUGGACUGUAACUGACACUGAGGUACGAAAGCGUGGGGAGCAAACAGGAUUAGAUACCCUAGUAGUC